rnacentral:rRNA from 1 species
UACGUAGGGUGCAAGCGUUAAUCGGAAUUACUGGGCGUAAAGCGUGCGCAGGCGGUUAUGUAAGACAGGUGUGAAAUCCCCGGGCUUAACCUGGGAACUGCAUUUGUGACUGCAUAGCUAGAGUACGGUAGAGGGGGAUGGAAUUCCGCGUGUAGCAGUGAAAUGCGUAGAUAUGCGGAGGAAUACCGAUGGCGAAGGCAGCUCCCUGGGAUAACACUGACGCUCAUGCACGAAAGCGUAGGGGAGCGA